rnacentral:misc_RNA from 1 species
ACCAGCCAAGAAACACCUUUAUCAGUGGGCCGUUCUUUUCUUCUUAUUCCAUCUCUUUUUACAGGGGUAACCGAUUCAUCAUCACGCAAUAAUUCCUCAUCUUCUUGAGCAAGAGGUGGUCUAACACUAGAAGCAUUGUAUACACUGAGAUCAAGCAGGUCAAGCGGUAUCCCAACAUCUGGCUCAACAAAAAGUUGGGGUUUAUACGUCUUCUCCAAUGAUGUGAUUGUGUAUUUUGU